rnacentral:rRNA from 1 species
UACGUAGGGUGCGAGCGUUAAUCGGAAUUACUGGGCGUAAAGCGUGCGCAGGCUGCUUCGCAAGUCAGGCGUGAAAUCCCCGGGCUUAACCUGGGAAUGGCGUCUGAAACUACGGAGCUAGAGUGUGGCAGAGGGAGGUAGAAUUCCACGUGUAGCGGUGCAAUGCGUAGAUAUGUGGAGGAAUCCCGAUGGCGAAGGCAGCCUCCUGGGCCAACACUGACGCUCAUGCACGUAAGCGUGUGGAGCAAACAGG